rnacentral:rRNA from 2 species
GAGCCGGAAAGUUGGUCAAACUCGGUCAUUUAGAGGAAGUAAAAGUCGUAACAAGGUCUCCGUAGGUGAACCUGCGGAGGGAUCAUUA